rnacentral:sRNA from 1 species
CAAAGCUCUCCUACAAUACUCUAUUCCCUGUCUCACGGAUCCUAGCCUACUUUUGACAUAUGGAAACUUUGCAGCAGGCAACCGCGAAGCCAGUACCGGGCGGGAGGAAUUUGAAAGGAAAAUGAAACCAGCCGCCUGGCCCGAUCUAUGCUGAGACUGCCCGUGCGAGAAUCAGCAGAUUCCUCAUCAAAAGCCCACAACAAAUGCAACCAAGGCACUUGUACAUGUAUGGAAUAUUUAUGUCGCAGCAGUACAACACAUGAUGUACUCUGCAAGUACUGUACAUCGUACAUGACAUCUACUUGGUCAGCCCA